GAUGAACGCUAGCUACAGGCUUAACACAUGCAAGUCGCGGGGCAGCAUGGGGGUUGCUUGCAAUCCCCGAUGGCGACCGGCGCACGGGUGAGUAACGCGUAUUCAACCUGCCCUUCACCACGGGAUAACCCGGCGAAAGUCGGACUAAUACCGUAUGUUGUCCAUUGACGGCAUCCGAUUUGGACGAAAGGCUUGGCGGUGAGGGAUGGGGAUGCGUCCGAUUAGCCAGACGGCGGGGUAACGGCCCACCGUGGCUACGAUCGGUAGGGGUUCUGAGAGGAAGGUCCCCCACACUGGAACUGAGACACGGUCCAGACUCCUACGGGAGGCAGCAGUGAGGAAUAUUGGUCAAUGGGCGUAAGCCUGAACCAGCCAAGUAGCGUGCAGGAGGACGGCCCUAUGGGUUGUAAACUGCUUUUAUGCGGGGAUAAAGUGGCCCACGUGUGGGCUUUUGCAGGUACCGCAUGAAUAAGGACCGGCUAAUUCCGUG
rnacentral:rRNA from 1 species